UCAACUAACUAUUCGCCAGAAUACUACAAGCAAAACGCUUGAAACUCAAAGGACUUGGUGGUGUCCCAUAUCGUCCUAGAGGAGCCUGUCCUAUAAUCGAUACUCCACGAUAAACCUUACCAUUUUUGGCCACUCCAGCCUAUAUACCGCCGUCGCCAGCCUACCCCAUGAGGGCUCAUCAGUAGGCAAAAUUGUUUUCACACAAAAACGUCAGGUCAAGGUGUAGCUUAUAAAAUGGGAGAGAUGGGCUACAUUUUCUAAAUUAGAAAAUACGAACAAUACAAUGAAACCUUGUAUUAGAAGGAGGAUUUAGCAGUAAAAUAAACAGAAAAAUUAUUUUAAAAAAGCUCUGAGACGCGUACACACCGCCCGUCACCCUCAUCAAACAAACCCACAAUUAACAUAUACCCACAACCAAACAAAGAUGAGGUAAGUCGUAACAUGGUAAGCGUACUGGAAAGUGCGCUUGGAAUAACAAAAAGUAGCUUAAAAUAAAGCAUUCAACUUACAAUUGAAAUAUGUUACCCAUAUAACCUUUUUGAGCUAAAAUUAAGCCCGACCUAACCGCCCAACCAGAAAACCAGAUAAAACAAACCAUUUGCCAAAAACAGUAUUUGAGAAAGAAC
rnacentral:rRNA from 1 species